rnacentral:rRNA from 1 species
UACGUAGGGUGCGAGCGUUAAUCGGAUUUAUUGGGCGUAAAGCGAGCGCAGGUGGUUUAUUAAGUCUGGUGUAAAAGGCAGUGGCUCAACCAUUGUAUGCAUUGGAAACUGGUAGACUUGAGUGCAGGAGAGGAGAGUGGAAUUCCAUGUGUAGCGGUGAAAUGCGUAGAUAUAUGGAGGAACACCGGUGGCGAAAGCGGCUCUCUGGACUGUAACUGACACUGAGGCUCGAAAGCGUGGGUAGCAAACAGG